rnacentral:misc_RNA from 1 species
UGUGGGAGCGAGCUUGCUCGCGAUGGCGGCGUGUCAGUCAACAUCAAUGCAACUGACCUUCCGCUAUCGCGAGCAAGCUCGCUCCCACA